rnacentral:rRNA from 1 species
GAUGAACGCUGGCGGCGUGCCUAAUACAUGCAAGUCGAGCGAACAGACGAGGAGCUUGCUCCUCUGACGUUAGCGGCGGACGGGUGAGUAACACGUGGAUAACCUACCUAUAAGACUGGGAUAACUUCGGGAAACCGGAGCUAAUACCGGAUAAUAUAUUGAACCGCAUGGUUCAAUAGUGAAAGACGGUUUUGCUGUCACUUAUAGAUGGAUCCGCGCCGCAUUAGCUAGUUGGUAAGGUAACGGCUUACCAAGGCGACGAUGCGUAGCCGACCUGAGAGGGUGUUCGGCCACACUGGAACUGAGACACGGUCCAGACUCCUACGGGAGGCAGCAGUAGGGAAUCUUCCGCAAUGGGCGAAAGCCUGACGGAGCAACGCCGCGUGAGUGAUGAAGGUCUUCGGAUCGUAAAACUCUGUUAUUAGGGAAGAACAAAUGUGUAUGUAACUAUGCACGUCUUGACGGUACCUAAUCAGAAAGCCACGGCUAACUACGUG